rnacentral:rRNA from 1 species
AUACGAAGGGAGCUAGCGUUGUUCGGAAUUACUGGGCGUAAAGCGCACGUAGGCGGACUUGUUAGUCAGGGGUGAAAUCCCGGGGCCCAACCUCGGAACUGCCUUUGAUACUGCAAGUCUGGAGUCCGGAAGAGGUGGGUGGAAUUCCUAGUGUAGAGGUGAAAUUCGUAGAUAUUAGGAAGAACGCCGGUGGCGAAGGCGGCCCACUGGUCCGGUACUGCCGCUGAGGUGCGAAAGCGUGGGGAGCAAACAGGAUUAGAUACCCCAGUAGUCC